CCUAAAAUGUUGCUAUGUACUUUCUUUCACUCAAAUAAAUACGUUUUUUCAAUGUAUUAUACUAAUUAGUAAUUUUCCUCACUCGAUAGUCUGCUUUUUUGGUGCGUUGUUGUCACACUGCCAGACAACAUUCCCUAAAAUCCCCAUUUGAAACUAUACUGGCUUUCGGUUUUUGUUACUUUGCUCGUAUUGACGUCAUAUAACUUAUCAACGUGACAUAUGAGGAUAUAUGAAACAAUAAAAAUGUAAAAGACCAAAAACGAGUCUAGCUCUGACACCUGACGGCGGACUGAAGCACCCUUGCACACAGCGAACACACACAGUCAUCGACAGGACAAUGGGCGUACUCAUUGAAUGGAGCAGUCUGUUGGAGCCACACAAUCUGGACCUCAGAGAAAGAGGUCACUCGCAACAUAGAACGGACAAAUGAUGAAACGCUGUUCUCGCGUAAUGCAUGCUGAAGUUCCAGCGUGGACUUGCAGACAGCUCACUGACACUCAGAUCCUUCUUCAACCGCAAUAUGGGAUGGUUUCAACAUGGAACAUUUUCGGUACUCACAAUGC